UUUUUUUUUAUUUUUAAUUUUUUUGUCUUUUUCUAGAGAACAGUUUAUUUUUUUAAUUUUUAUUUUAUUUUUGUGUUUUUCUAGGUAAGUGGAUUUAGUGAUUACCCAGGGUUUCAAUACCAGUGAUGUAACGUUACUGUAAGGCAGAACAUUAUUGUGAAAACUUUCUGUUGAGAGAUGCCUGGAGGAUGCCUCUGUUGAGGAGGUAAACUCAAACCCUAGCUUCCCAACCCCAUGGUCCUCUUCCUCAGGUCUUGCACUAGACCAGGUGGUGGUGGGCAUGCAAAUCCCUUUUGGGAAAGACCAGAAGAAGAGGGUCAUGGGGUUUGGGAAGUGGUGCCUCUUCCCUUCCUAGGGUUUGAGUUUGCCUCUGGGCUUGGGGAGAAAGCCCUGCAGUACCUGAGCCGUGUCAACCUGGAACGGGGGAGAAGGCAGCGUAGACUUGCUCUUGUUGGGCAAAGACAUAAAUGAUGGCGUCCGAGCGACAUCACUAGAAAGGAAAUGCUUACAGCGUGUCAGGUACUAUUUGAAUCAUUUUAUGUUUAAGUCUUUCUCACAGCCUAUGACGCUGUCAUUUCUGUAGGUCAGAGCUGGUAAAAUAUUGUCACUUCGACAUAGUUUACAGAUUUUCCACCUUAAGAUGUGAACAAAAGAUUUUUUAAUAAUGACCCAACGUCCCAAAGCUAAUGGGUGGCUGUACAGAUCAAGUGUUCUUGCAGGAACAAAAGGCACCUUCAGAAGGGGAUGACUGAGACAUUAAUGAAAGACUGCUUACAGAUGGGGUUAAAUGAAAUCAACAAGGAUAGAGGAAGUUUCUGGAAAAGCCAUCUUAAAGCAGUCCAGUGGGCACUGGGAGGUGGCUGGAGCUGGAAGCAGGGGGGUGAAGUGUGUGUGUGUGUCUGUGUUUAGGACGGGUGACUUAGAAGUCACCUCUCAGUGUGCUGGUCUUAUAGAUGGUGCCAGUACAAAAGGACUGAGGUCAGGUGUUUAUUCUUUAUAAUAUACAAUGCCUGUCAAAAAUUUUUGCAGGAGCCAUUCCGAGCACAGCAUGGACCACUGCAAGGGAUUGACAGCUAGAUAUUAGUCACGAGUUCUUAAAUACCAUCCAUUUAUCAUCAGCCCUUAAUUAAUGGGGAUCCUUCUGCCCAGAACACGCAGUGAGACUUCUGCCUCCUCUUUAUCCCCUGCCCCCUGCCGGGUCACACUGAGGAGGAAGGAGAAUGACAUGCAAACAUGAUGUCCAAGUUUGAAGAAGCCACCUGUAGCCAGAGCAGCCAGUUCUUGGUAAGUGUCCGGAUACUGUCAGUCAAGCCCGACUUCCCUCUCAACUUUUCAUCUUUACACUGUCUCUUGCCAACCUCUGUUCCCUCUGUUCCAGCUGCCCCCUUCCUCCACUGGCUCCCAUCCGCUAACCCUGAUGGAUGGAAAAUACUUUCUCAGAAGUGACUAGAAGAAACCUGAGAAAUGACUCUUGCACAAGGAAGCCAGGCUGCCCACCCCAUUUGAGGAUGUGUUCAAUCCUAAGGAUAACUCACCUAUUUUAUUGUAUUUUAUUUUUUGGCUGUACCGAUGGCCUGUGGAAGUUCCUAGGUCAGGGUUGAAACUGCACCACAGCAGUGCCAAUGCCAGAUCUUUAGCCCACUGUAUCACCACGGAACUCUGCACCCAUUUUAAAAUCUAAGAACAUCCCAACCAAUGCCCAUGGCGCCCACAGCUGGCUUGACUUCCCCAGAUGCUCCUGAUAAUCUAAUUCUCUCCUAACAUAAGAGGUAAUGUCAUGCUUCAUGCUUCAAAUGGACCAUCCCUGUAUCUUUUUUUCAGGAAACACUCCUUCACCUUAAAUUCAAGUGUUUAAAAGUUCAAAGCACUUAAUGUUUGCACAUAAAGUGAAUUUUAGAUUACAUUCUUUUUUGGAGAGAGUCACAUAACGGGCUGUUACAAAUUCAUUCCAAAAAGCAACUUUCAGAUUCUGUCCUGAGGUCAGUAACAUACAUUCCCUUUGCCUCCUGUACUUACAACUCUGUAAUUACAACUCAAGAAAUAAUAUAUGAGGAUUCUGAUACAUGGAAAGAUCCUGAAAAAGUGUUUUGAAUUAUUAAAGAAGAAAUCAUUCAUAGUAUUGGCAUGAAGUAUAUUACACAGUACUGUCAGCCUUUGAACAUUGCUAAGUCAUGUGUGACAUAUACGGUAUAAAGAAAUCAGACUACUCUGUUCUACCUAUUUCUGCUAGUUGAGAAGUUUUAUACAAAAAAUUCAUUUAAUAAUUCUGACACCUGUGGUCAAUUAAUCUUUGACAAAGGAGGCAAAGAAUAUAAAAUGAGAAAAAGACAGUCUUUUCAGCAAGUGGUGCUGGGAAAACUGGACAGCAACAUGUAAAUCAGUGAAACUAGAACACACCCUCACACCAUGCACAAAAAUAAAUAACACUGUAAAUCAGCUAUAAUAGAAAAGAUAAAAAUCAUUAUAAAAAUGGCCUAAAGACUUAAACAUAAGACAUCAUAAAACUAGAAGAGAACAUAGGCAAAAUAUUCUCUGACAUCAACUGUGUAAAUGUUUCCUUAGGUCAGUCUCCCAAGGCAAGAGAAGUAAAAGCAAAAAUAAUGGGACCUAAUCAAACGUAAAAGCUUUUGCACAGCAAAGGAAAUAAAACCCCAAAAAGACACCCUAUGGAAUGGGAGAACAUAGUUGCAAAUGAUACAACGAACAAGGGCUUAAUCCCCAAAAUAUACAAACAACUCAUACAACUCAACAGCAAAAACAAAAACAAAAAGCAAAAAAACCUGAACAACAACAACAAAAACAACCCAAAUGAAAAAUGGGCAGAAAACCUAGAUAUUUCUCCAAAGAAGAUAUACAGAUAGCCAACAAACACAUGAAAAAAAUGCUCAACAUCACUAAUUAUUAGAGAAAUGUAGAUCAAAACUACAAUGAGGUACCAUCUCACACUGGUCAGAACAGCUAUCAUUAAUAAGUCUACAAAUAACAAGUGCUAGAGAGGGUGUGGAGAAAAGGGAACCCUACUUCUCUGUUGGUGGGAAUGUAGACUGGUACAACCAUUAUGGAAAACAGUAUGGAGGUUCCUCAGAGAACUAAAUAUAGAACUACCAGAAGUUUCAGUAAUCCCACUCCUGGGCAUAUAUCUGGAUAAAAAAACUUUCAUUCUAAAAGAUACAUGCACCACUAUAUUCAUUCCAGCACUAUUCACAAUAGCCAAGACAUGGAAACAGCCUAAAUGUCCAUUGACAGAUGAAUGGAUUAAGAAGAUGUGGUAUAUAUACACAAAGGAAUACUACUCAGCCAUAAAAAAGAAAAUACCAUUUGCAGCAACAUGGAUAGAACUAGAGAUUCUCAUACUAAGUGAAGUAAGUCAGAAAGAGAAAGACAAAUACCAUAUGAUAUCACUUAUAUGUGGAAUCUAAAAUGUGGCACAAAUGAACCUAUCUACAAAACAGAAACAAACUCAUGGGCAGAGAACAGACUUGUGGUUGCCAAGCAGGAGGGGGAGGGAGUGGGAUGGACUGGGAGUUUGGGGUUAGUAGAUGCAAACUGUUGCAUUUGGAGUGAAUAAGCAAUGAGAUCCUGCUGUAUAGCUUAGAGAACUACAUCCAAUCCCUUGUGAUGGAAAAUAAUGGAAGAUAUGAGAAAAAGAAUGUAUACACAUACACACACACACACAUACAUAUAUAUAACUUGGGUGUCACUUUGCUGUACAGCAGAAAUUGACAGGACACUGUCAAUCAACUAUAAUAAACAUUUUUUUUAAUUUAAAAAAGAUUUUUAAAAAGUCAAAAAAAAAUUGGAAGAACUACUGGAUAAGAAACUCAAUCCAGGAGUUCCUGUUGUGGCUCAGUGGGUUGAGGACCUAAUGUGGUCUCUGUGAGGAUGCAGGUUUGAUCCCUGGUCUCACUCAGUGGAUGAAGGACCCGGCAUUGCCACAAGCUGUGGCAUAGUCCACAGAUGUGGACUGGAUCUGGGGUUGCUGUGGCACCUGCAGCUCCAAUUUGACCCCUAGCCCGGGAACGUCCAUAUGCCGGGGUGUGGCCAGUCGUUGCACCUCUGGGUUUUUCUGUUACCACCUCUAGAGAGGAGAUGCGCUACGACCUCCAAGUUAUAAAAAUCCUCCUGUCAUCCCCACCCUUCUCUUUAGAGCCCAAACUUUGGACUUCAGCUGCAGCUCCUUCUGGGGGUGGGUGUUGCCAUCAGAAGCCCUUUGGUGACCCUCGGUCACUUGUACUGGCAUUGUCACUCUUGGGACAUUUCCCUUAGACUUCUGCUGGUCUCUGUUAAACCAUCAUUUAGUUAACACUCCCGCAGUUACAGAGCAGAGGACAGAACCGGCAGCAGAUGGUAUCUGGAAGCAUAAAGUGACAGACCUGGGAACAUUCCUGGGUGAGAAGCUUCUAUUUCCAGAGUCCUGCUCCUCACCCGGUUCCAGCUCCUUUAUCUGGUGAAGUUCCACAUCCUUUAAGGAUCAAGUCCAAUGUCACUUCUACCUCACUUGGGAGAGGUUCUUUCUCCUCUGGGCUCCUAAUUUUUACCCACCACUGUCACAUCUGUCAUCACCUCCUAUUGCAUAUUGAUUUUUUGCCUGCUUGCUCACCUCUUUAGGAAUAUCCUUACAAGUGGCCACGAUUGGUUCUUCUCUAGGGUAGCUUAUUUCCAGGCUCUGUGAGCCUGUGUGUAAGGCCUGCCUUGGGUGAUUAUAACAAACAAAUGCUGAAGCCCUUUUGGGUGCAUCAUUUCAAUCUUUUAAAGAUGAUUUCUGGUGCUUCCCUCCUUGGGAACUUUCUACUUUCCUGUCACUUUGGUGAUUCUUAUCAGUGUUCCCUGGUAGACAAUUAAUGGUAUGAUUUUUUUGACCAAUUAGCUCAGGAAGCUCAGACUUCAGCAUCUUAAAAAAAAAAAAAAAAUCCCCAAGUGGAGUUCCCGUCGAGGCUCAGUGGUUAACGAAUUUGACUAGGAACCAUGAGGUUGUGGGUUCGAUCCCUGGCCUCGCUCAGUGGGUUAAGGAUCCGGCGUUACUGUGAGCUGUGGUGUAGGUCGCAGAUGUGGCUUGGAUCCCACUUUGCUGUGGCUGUGGCGUAGGCUGGUGGCUACAACUCCGAUUAGACCCUUAGCCUGGGAACCUCCAUAUGCCAUGGGCGUGGCCCUAGAAAAGCCAAAAAAAAGAAAAAAAAAAAGAAAAAGAAAAAAGGAAAAAAAAAAUCCCCAAAUAAUAACCAGCUCAAGAAUACAAAUGUUCUAUGCAGUUCUGGAAUGCUAUCACUUAUUGACUCUAUUCAUUAAAAAAAAAAGGUGCAUGCAAAUCUAAAAUCCCCACACAGAAAAUGGAACUAAUCCACAAAUAAGUGCGUGCCUCAUACACACCUACAUACCAACAAGUAACACGAGAAUCAUAGGAACCUGCAUGUGUAGGUUCUGGAUUCAUCUGGAUUCAUGCUGAACAUUGCUAAGCAUUGUGCCAGCUGCUUCACAGGCCCAGUAUCUUUGACACUAUCCUUGAAAUUCAUGAUGGCAUGAGGGUCAUCACACAUAAGCAUUUUCUUUUUGUCCCUCUGAACAAAGUGAACAUUGACCCGGAUACAGGGAAGGAUCCUAGCUGGGGUCACUCACAUCGCUUGAAUCAUAACAAGAGAAAGACUUUUGCAGUCUCCGAACUUUUUUCAAGCAGAAGCAAGCAGCUGUUCCUGAGAUAAAGCAGUGUGAGUUCUCAUAUACAGAGUUAGUGAUGCAUGGCAUUGAGGGGAGAGGUGAGGGGGGAACUCAAUCAUUGCAUCAAACUGCCGUUUUCAAUUUUACAAAGAACUCUUGCAUGUGUUCUUAUUUGAUAAUAGCCUCACAGAAUCAAAGGCUUUUCACCAUAGCAACCUUAGUAGUUGGCCCUUUUUAACAUUGAAGAAACUGAGGCUCAAAUGCUUAAGUGACUCCCUUAGAGUGACAAAACUAGUUAAGUGGUAGGAGAUGGGAUUACUGAGUCCAGGGUCUACAGGUUUAGCUUUUGUUUUUUUAGGACAUGCUUGCUUAAAGAAAGACAGCACUAGUGAGAGACAGUUUUACACAGAGGAAAGCAAAAAUUGAGCCAACCACAGAAGCACCCUCUUUCAAUUAUACAGUGGUUAACACUUAAAAUUACUUUCCCAGUAUCCUAAAUGACUGCCCUUACAAAGCAAAUGCACUGCCUAAACCAUGGCUGCAUGCUUUUUCUUUACUUGGAAGGAUCUCUCAGAGAGCAUUACUAAAAAUAACUUCAUUAUCUGUAAUAGAAACUCAUCUAUCACCAUUCUAAUUAGAAUGUGACUAAAGAAAUCAGUAGUGAACAAAGGCGUUUUGGACAUUUGGUGCCUAUAAUGAUGGCUUUGAAGUUCCAGGGAAAAGUCAGUUUUCCAAAUGUCUCCUCAUUUAUAUCUCUCACUCGCCAUUCUUCUCAGUUCUCAAAGAAACUGUUUUUAAAUAUAUAUAAUAAUGGUAAUAGACAUUUGCAGAAACUGGAAAAAUAGAACAGCACAAAGAAGGAAAAAAAAACUUAUAUGCUCUCCUCUCAGAGAAAAUCACUACUAUUUUGAUGUGCCUGAGCAUUUUCUGCACAGAUAAGCAUUUCUGCCUACUUAGCACCAUAGUGUAUAAACUCUUUUGUUACCCACUUUCACACUUAUUAGAAUUAUUUCCUCCAUCAGGUAGAUAUUCUACAGUUUUUGGUGGUUGCACAGUAUUCUACUUACUAAAUUGCAUUAUUUAUAAAUUUUCCACUUCACUGAAUAGUUACUGAUUUUUAUGAGCAACCGUGCUAAAUAGCCUUGUAUAUUAAUUUCUGCAAACCUGUCAUAUUGAAGAAAAAUUCCCAGAAACAGAUUUGCUGGGUCAAAUCUUUAGGCAAAAUUUAAGAAUAUACAUCUUGGGAGUUCCCGUCGUGGCGCAGUGGUUAACGAAUCCGACUAGGAAACAUGAGGUUGUGGGUUCGGUCCCUGCCCUUGUUUAGUGGGUUAACGAUCCGGCAUUGCUGUGAGCUGUGGUGUAGGUUGCAGACGUGGCUCAGAUCCCGCGUUGCUGUGGCUCUGGCAUAGGCCAGUGGCUACAGCUCCGAUUCGACCCCUAGCCUGGGAACCUCCAUAUGCCGCGGGAGCGGCCCAAAGAAAUAGCAAAAAG
rnacentral:lncRNA from 1 species